GGGACACGUGGUAUCCUGUCUGAAUAUGGGGGGACCAUCCUCCAAGGCUAAAUACUCCUGACUGACCGAUAGUGAACCAGUACCGUGAGGGAAAGGCGAAAAGAACCCCGGCGAGGGGAGUGAAAAAGAACCUGAAACCGUGUACGUACAAGCAGUGGGAGCACGCUUAGGCGUGUGACUGCGUACCUUUUGUAUAAUGGGUCAGCGACUUAUAUUCUGUAGCAAGGUUAACCGAAUAGGGGAGCCGAAGGGAAACCGAGUCUUAACUGGGCGUUAAGUUGCAGGGUAUAGACCCGAAACCCGGUGAUCUAGCCAUGGGCAGGUUGAAGGUUGGGUAACACUAACUGGAGGACCGAACCGACUAAUGUUGAAAAAUUAGCGGAUGACUUGUGGCUGGGGGUGAAAGGCCAAUCAAACCGGGAGAUAGCUGGUUCUCCCCGAAAGCUAUUUAGGUAGCGCCUCGUGAAUUCAUCUCCGGGGGUAGAGCACUGUUUCGGCAAGGGGGUCAUCCCGACUUACCAACCCGAUGCAAACUGCGAAUACCGGAGAAUGUUAUCACGGGAGACACACGGCGGGUGCUAACGUCCGUCGUGAAGAGGGAAACAACCCAGACCGCCAGCUAAGGUCCCAAAGUCAUGGUUAAGUGGGAAACGAUGUGGGAAGGCCCAGACAGCCAGGAUGUUGGCUUAGAAGCAGCCAUCAUUUAAAGAAAGCGUAAUAGCUCACUGGUCGAGUCGGCCUGCGCGGAAGAUGUAACGGGGCUAAACCAUGCACCGAAGCUGCGGCAGCGACGCUUAUGCGUUGUUGGGUAGGGGAGCGUUCUGUAAGCCUGUGAAGGUGUGCUGUGAGGCAUGCUGGAGGUAUCAGAAGUGCGAAUGCUGACAUAAGUAACGAUAAAGCGGGUGAAAAGCCCGCUCGCCGGAAGACCAAGGGUUCCUGUCCAACGUUAAUCGGGGCAGGGUGAGUCGACCCCUAAGGCGAGGCCGAAAGGCGUAGUCGAUGGGAAACAGGUUAAUAUUCCUGUACUUGGUGUUACUGCGAAGGGGGGACGGAGAAGGCUAUGUUGGCCGGGCGACGGUUGUCCCGGUUUAAGCGUGUAGGCUGGUUUUCCAGGCAAAUCCGGAAAAUCAAGGCUGAGGCGUGAUGACGAGGCACUACGGUGCUGAAGCAACAAAUGCCCUGCUUCCAGGAAAAGCCUCUAAGCAUCAGGUAA
rnacentral:rRNA from 1 species